rnacentral:lncRNA from 1 species
CACGGUGACUUGCAAGCAACUCACUGCACUUAGGCACUGGACUACUUGAAUUUCUAAUUCAAUGACGGAAGGCUGCUGGGUGUAGUCAAGUACUUGACUUGUCGGUGCGAGUGUCAAGAUGGGAUUGACCACUUCAGUUCAGGAGCUGUGUACAGUCAUGUUUCAAUUUAGCAAAACCUUGGCCAGGAUAGUCCUAGUGAGGAGUCA